UACGUAGGGUGCAAGCGUUGUCCGGAAUUAUUGGGCGUAAAGAGCUCGUAGGCGGUUUGUCGCGUCUGCUGUGAAAACUCGGGGCUUAACUCCGGGCCUGCAGUGGGUACGGGCAGACUAGAGUGCGGUAGGGGAGACUGGAAUUCCUGGUGUAGCGGUGAAAUGCGCAGAUAUCAGGAGGAACACCUGUGGUGUAGACGGCUUUCUGGACCAUAGCUGACGCUGAGACACGAAAGCGUGGGUAGCAAACAGG
rnacentral:rRNA from 1 species